UUGGAGGGCAAGUCUGGUGCCAGCAGCCGCGGUAAUUCCAGCUCCAAUAGCGUAUAUUAAAGUUGUUGCAGUUAAAAAGCUCGUAGUUGAAUUUCGGGAUUGACGUGAUGGUCGUGCCUUAAGGGGUAUGAACUGUCACAGUUGAUUUCUCACCUUCUGGAGAAACUUGAUGUCCUUUAUUGGGUGUCUUGCGGAUCCAGGACCUUUACCUUGAAAAAAUUAGAGUGUUUAAAGCAGGCAUUUUUGCUCGAAUACAUUAGCAUGGAAUAAUAGAAUAGGACGGCAUGGUUCUAUUUUGUUGGUUUCUAGGAUCACCGUAAUGAUUAAUAGGGAUAGUUGGGGGCAUUAGUAUUCAAUUGUCAGAGGUGAAAUUCUUGGAUUUAUUGAGGACUAACUACCGCGAAAGCAUUUGCCAAGGAUGUUUUCAUUAAUCAAGAACGAAAGUUAGGGGAUCGAAGACGAUCAGAUACCGUCGUAGUCUUAACCAUAAACUAUGCCGACUAGGAAUCAGACGAUGUUAAUUUUUUAAUGACUCGUUUGGCACCUUACGGGAAACCAAAGUGUUUGGGUUC
rnacentral:rRNA from 1 species